rnacentral:rRNA from 1 species
UGGGGAAUAUUGGACAAUGGGCGCAAGCCUGAUCCAGCCAUGCCGCGUGCAGGAUGACGGUCCUAUGGAUUGUAAACUGCUUUUUGUACAGGAAGAAACAGUUCUACGUGUAGAACCUUGACGGUACUGUAAGAAUAAGGAUCGGCUAACUCCGUGCCAGCAGCCGCGGUAAUACGGAGGAUCCAAGCGUUAUCCGGAAUCAUUGGGUUUAAAGGGUCCGUAGGCGGUUAGAUAAGUCAGUGGUGAAAGCCCAUCGCUCAACGGUGGAACGGCCAUUGAUACUGUCUGACUUGAAUUAUUAGGAAGUAACUAGAAUAUGUAGUGUAGCGGUGAAAUGCUUAGAGAUUACAUGGAAUACCAAUUGCGAAGGCAGGUUACUACUAAUGGAUUGACGCUGAUGGACGAAAGCGUGGGUAGCAAACAGGAUUAGAUACCCGAGUAGUCCCUGAGCGGGCUGGCAAGGCGCAU